rnacentral:miRNA from 1 species
UACCUUGUAACCGAUCUUAAAAGUACUUUUAAGAUCGGUUACCUUGUAACCGAUCUUAAAAGUACUUUUAAGAUCGGUUAGGCU